GCAGCGCAGAAAGAGGGGAAACAAACACUGCUUUACUCUACAGGAUUCAUGUGAACAUUACUGGAUACAACAAUGACAGAAGUGAAAAAACUCGCCUGCAUCAAUUCCCAAAGGACAAAAAGGUAAGAAGGUAAUGGAUAAAUGCCAUUUGCCGCACAGGGACAGACCUCUCACGGGCUGACUGGACGGGUCCUUCAGGUGCAAAAACAGCACAUUUGCAGCUUGUGUGCUCGGAACAUUUUGAAGAAAAUUGUUUCACUCGAACAGCUCGGAUGCCCCGGCAUUAGGAAUACCGUACACGCCAGCGCUGAGUCCAGAUGCGGUUCCCACAAUCUUCGGCCAAAAAGCGGACAAGACAAAUGGGACAACAUGGUCAGUAGUCUGCAAAAGACAAGUUUAAAGGCAGGUCACUCCUAGUUUUUCUCCUGACUUUGUAGCAUGUUCUGCCGUGUGGAUCCGGUGCUGCUGACAUCAGAACUGGACUGAGAAUUCCUCUGCACCCAGUCCAGAGCGAAGACCCGCAACAUGAGGAAAAAUCCUGCACAGAGCACACAGUGUGUGUUCAGGAGUUAAUUUCAUCACGGACAGGAAAUUUCUGCCACAUAAACAAUGGCGUUUACGACGCUGCCCUUCGGCUCGGUCUGUGUGGCAACAGGAAAGGAGAGAAACCGCCCAGAAACUCACCUUGUAACGAGUUAAUGAUGCAGAAGAGGAACAGGCUGGUUUCUGAGGUUCCAGAAGGAAUGAAAAUGACAGCCCAGGUGGAACCGAACAGACAGCUGAGACCCCAGAUGCUGAGGAAGGUCAUGCAGUUCGUCCUCCACUCAUUGCGGUGACGGAUCUUCCUGAACACCAGGAGAAGCAUGACGAGGCCGGAGCUCACCACCAUCAGCAGCAGCCCCGUGUUGAUGAUGUAGUGAGCGAUCAGAGCCGAGGAAGAGUCCGUCAUCCAACACCUGAACCGACAUGCAACAUCUGGAUCAUUAUUAUUCCUGAACAAAUAAUCCAUGUUCACACACACUGUGCAAUUAACCGUUAUGCCUUACAUGCGAUAUUCAGUUUCAUCAGACUUCACCGUCUUCUUGCCGUAAACGUUUCCAAUGGAUCCCAGAAUAAUAACCGGCACAGCUGGAACACCUGGAACAGACGGGGAAAUAGCAAAAUUCCCCAUCAAGGAAAUACACGAAUAAAAACACGGGUUCUUCAUCCUUUCUUUCUUUCUUUCUUUCUUUCUUUCUUUCUUUCUUUCUUUCUUUCUUUCUUUUUCGACUCACAUGAAGUACAGCUCUAAUGAAAAUUACAGAAAUCACACUGCAGAGAAUAAAAAGCAUUUUAGU